AGCGAACGCUGGCGGCAGGCUUAACACAUGCAAGUCGAACGGGCAUCUUCGGAUGUCAGUGGCAGACGGGUGAGUAACACGUGGGAACGUACCCUUCGGUUCGGAAUAACUCAGGGAAACUUGAGCUAAUACCGGAUACGCCCUUUUGGGGAAAGGUUUACUGCCGAAGGAUCGGCCCGCGUCUGAUUAGCUUGUUGGUGGGGUAACGGCCUACCAAGGCGACGAUCAGUAGCUGGUCUGAGAGGAUGAUCAGCCACACUGGGACUGAGACACGGCCCAGACUCCUACGGGAGGAAGCAGUGGGGAAUAUUGGACAAUGGGCGCAAGACUGAUCCAGCCAUGCCGCGUGAGUGAUGAAGGCCUUAGGGUUGUAAAGCUCUUUUGUCCGGGACGAUAAUGACGGUACCGGAAGAAUAAGCCCCGGCUAACUUCGUG
rnacentral:rRNA from 1 species